UGUUAUAAUUUCAUUAGUUUAAUUUUAAAAAUAUAACUCUGAAGAAGUUAAGAUUUAUGAGAUA
rnacentral:tRNA from 1 species